UACUUAUCCAGAGAGGCGGAGGGACUGGCCCUAUGAAGCCCGGCAACCGGUUGUGAAACACGGUGCUAAUUCCAGCAGAGUUUUUUGCUCUGAAAAGAUAAGGA
rnacentral:ncRNA from 2 species